rnacentral:rRNA from 1 species
GCCUACGGCCAUACCACCCUGAAAGCGUCUGAUCUCGGAAGCUAAGCAGGGACGGGCCUGGUUAGUACCUGGAUGGGAGACCGCCUGGGAAUACCAGGUGUUGUAGGCU